GAUAGUGUAGCCAAAUGGUAAGGCAAGGCUCCGCAAAAGCCUGAUUUAAGGUUCAAUUCCUUACACUAUCUCCA
rnacentral:tRNA from 1 species